AAGCUCGUAGUUGAAUUUCGGGGUUAGUAGGUUGGUCAUGCCUCUGGUAUGUACUGGUCUCACUGAUUCCUCCUUCCUUAUGAACCGUAAUGCCAUUAAUUUGGUGUUGCGGGGAAUUUGGACUGUUACUUUGAAAAAAUUGAGUGUUUAAAGCAAGCUAACGCUUGAAUACAUUAGCAUGGAAUAAUGAAAUAGGACGUUCGAUCUUAUUUUGUUGGUUUCUAGGAUUGACGUAAUGAUUAAUAGGAUAGUUGG
rnacentral:rRNA from 1 species